UACGUAGGGUGCAAGCGUUAAUCGGAAUUACUGGGCGUAAAGCGUGCGCAGGCGGUUGGCAAAGUCAGCUGUGAAAGCCCCGGGCUCAACCUGGGAAUUGCGAUGGAGACUGCAAGGCUUGAAUCUGGCAGAGGGGGGUAGAAUUCCACGUGUAGCAGUGAAAUGCGUAGAGAUGUGGAGGAACACCGAUGGCGAAGGCAGCCCCCUGGGUCAAGAUUGACGCUCAUGCACGAAAGCGUGGGGAGCAAACAGG
rnacentral:rRNA from 1 species